GGAGGAUAUCCCGAACGGUUCAGGGAAAAGUUUGCUAAACUUUGACGCUUAAUUGCGUCGGACAGGUUCGACCCCUGUAUCCUCCG
rfam:Microgenomates (Woesebacteria) bacterium GW2011_GWA2_33_28 TR38_C0005, whole genome shotgun sequence.